rnacentral:rRNA from 1 species
CGGUUAAUAUUCCGGUACCCUUUUAUACUGCGAUGCGGUGACGUAGAGGUGAUACUGCCGCGCACUGACGGAAUAGUGCGUUGAAGGGGGUAGGUAUAGGAAGUGCAGGCAAAUCCGCACAUCCUGCCGAGACCCGACAGUACUGCAAAGCUUCGGCGGCGCAGAUAGUGCAGGUAAUCGUACUACCGAGAAAACCCGCUAAGCUUCAGGUAUAUAAGGCCCGUACCGCAAACCGACACAGGUGGUCGAGGAGAG